rnacentral:miRNA from 1 species
GAAGUGACAUGUGGUUGAUGG